rnacentral:misc_RNA from 1 species
GACGAACCGUCCAAACGUUAUUCGGAAUUACUGGGCUUAAAGGGUGCGUAGGCGGCGCGGAAAGUUGGAUGUGAAAGCCCUCGGCUCAACCGAGGAAUUGCGUUCAAAACUACCGUGCUUGAGGGAGACAGAGGUGAGCGGAACUACGGGUGGAGCGGUGAAAUGUGUUGAUAUCCGUAGGAACACCGGUGGCGAAAGCGGCUCACUGGGUCUCUUCUGACGCUGAGGCACGAAAGCUAGGGGAGCGAACGGG